rnacentral:lncRNA from 1 species
UUACUUUAACUGCAUUUUAAUUCAGAAAUGUAAAUAUACACAUUCAUGGCCAACUAUUUAAAAAAGCAUAUACAUUAAAAAAAAAAAAAGGACAUUUCCAAAAAAGGAGUUAGCCAAAAGCAAUGGCAAAAUUACAUUAUUACAGUAGGCUGAAUCUGCACAUAUACCUUAAACAUCAGAAAAUAAUUACACACACCCUUGUCAAUUGUUUUAUAAAAUCUAAUACUGGUACUCUAGUGAACAUAAGCGUCUCUGUGACUGACUGCUCAGACAGCAUAAACGCUGUUUUCACUUAAGCAUCUUUUCCCUGGUCACAAUUCUUUAGCUUUUAGUUUCUUGUUCAGCCAAUAUAAGAAUGGCCACCGGUUACACACCUAGCCACUGGUUAUUGAUAUACGCUCUCAUUCUUCAUAACAGAGUAUUUGUAUAUACAAAUGGAUGGCAUUUAAUACAUGGUAUGCCAUGUACUGAAGUUUAUUAAGAAAGGUGUGAAAUCAGAUUAUCCUAAUAUUUAAAGUAUUAACAAUGACACCCUUUUAGAAACAAAACGGUUUUGCUACAGCUCCUUUCACUGUUUCAUACCUGUCCUCCCUAUAUUAAGUAUAUACAUGAGAACGUAGACACUGGAUAUUUGAAUGUGUUCGGUGUAAA